UAGUCGGAAGGAAUUCUUCCUUGUUGAAUUUGUUUAAGCCCUUCCAUUAUUCGGUGCCGGGUAAAAGUUUAGCAGCCGUUCUGUCUAUAGGAAUAGAAGCCUCGCGGAGUUUUACGCCAGUUUUGUCCCAAAGCUCUCCAUCAAAGGAGAAUCCAAAUUCAGGGACGUUUUUGCUUAUCCAUUUGAGAAAAGUAGCUAAUGCUGAGGUAGAUACAGGCUGAUUCUGAAACGUUAAAGCUAACCAUAAUGCUGCAAGAUUUCCUUGCUGCUGCAUCGUUAGCGAACUGCCCAUCGUUCCCAACCGCUCGCCUUCUGUCCUGCAGAACGCUGCGGGCGCCAAUCUCUCCAUCGUUCAGCCAGGUGGCGGUGCCGGGCCGGGCUCACUCGGCCUCGGCUUGGUUUGCCCCAUGCAGUGGGCACCUUUUGCAGCACCUGAUGCACGAACUCAGAUAUAAACGAUCCAAAUCAUUUAUUACAAGUUCUAACAUCACUUAUAUACCUUCACAAGUUUUCUUUUUCUAGCUUUCACAUCCACCCCUACAACUUUCCCUUGCUCCUAUAACUUUAUCUUGCUCCACAGCUGCUACUCCGAACAGUUUUUCUUGUAUUCCCACAGUUUUCUGCCAUCGAUCAGCAUUCCUGGUCAACUUCAGAGGACUAGAGGCUUGCCAGCAUGGCUCCCAUCUGCAAGGAGGGUCAUAAGAAGGACUCGAUGAACUACAGGCCUGUCAGCCAAGAACUCAGUGCUGGCAAAGUUUAUGGAACAGAUCAUCUUGAGUGAGAUCGUGAGGCAUUUAUGAAACAACCAGUUAUGAUAAAUCUUGUUCAUCUUCACUGCUGUGGAGGCCUGCAGAUCCUUACAUCAGUUACAGAGAGAGAGUGCAUCAGACAUCACCACUGUGCUUGGCUACUGUUGCUUGUUCUGGUCUGCAUUCGGAGUUUCCAUUGACCUUCUGUGAGGUUUGUUCUGUAGGCUACAUUUGUCAUUACAGAAGUGCUUUGCAGUAUGGGUGGAGUAGGUCAUAAGCAUCUUCCUGUGUGUAUUGAACUAAUGUGAAUCUCUCCUAAUGUUAUGCUCCUUAACACAUGUAUAUCAGCUAAAAACAUUAAUCCCUGAGCACCAGAUAGUAUUCUUUGAUAAGCUUCUGGCAGUUUCAGUAACCUGUUUUUAUGGCAAUAGAGUGUAGGGGACUGGGGGUGUAAAGGACAUUUAAGGUAGGCCAAACUGGAGAUACAAGUGAUAACACCUUCAUAACAUAAUACAACAAAAUGUUUCUCCAUACUGAGGAAUAUUUGUGAGCAGUUGAGAAGAUCAGCUGCCAAGUAAUAUUCAUCCCACUUCAACGCUUGUGCUUAAAAUACCAGAGAAGCUAAAUUCCUGUAAGAGUACAAAAUAGUCUACCUAUAGGGGACAUAUCUGGCAUAAAGAUAGUACAUCUCUUUAGUCAGUCUUAUGCAGAAACGCUGAGGAGAUUCAGUCCCACCAAUCAUCAAAAAAUGCCAGUCUUAUUUUCUGCUGCAGUGAAAUCUGUCUAUUUGCAUGCAAAUGUUCAGCACUUCAAACACUGGAGCAUCAAAAGUCAAGCUCAUUAUUGCCUAAAGAAAUCUAUAAGGGGAUUGAAGGAAGGAAUACGAAACUAAAAGCAUCAAAGGUACUUCAGUACAGUUACAGCAAGGUGCUUCAUGUCAAUGUGGUGUUGAAUCUGUGUAACAUUAGUUUAGCGAUGGGAUGUGACACGUUGAUAAAAACAAGACUCUAGCAAAGCAGUUGCUGACAAAUUUAAGGCCAAGUGUAGGACUUGAAAGGGACACAUCAUAUGUAGAAGGAUGAAUAAGAUAAAUUCUUUUGUAGAAUACUUUGGAGCUCCUCAGACAUCUGAAAACAUAAGGGUGAGGUAAUGUGUAAGAAAUUACGCAGACCCUCGGUAGCAAGAUAAAUCACACUGAUUAGGAACAACCUGAUCCCUAGGGACAUGUAGACAUCUCUUUGCAGCUAGAAGUCCAAAUGCCUAUGCUGAUUUCUAAAUAGAAGACAUUGUUCUGUGAUAUUACUGCUCUUGUAAUUCCUUCAGAUAUGUCACAGAGUCUGUAGUGAGGUAGCAUUUAAAUAGAAAAAUAAAUAUGCAUUUCUUGGGAGCUAGAGUGCUUUUAUCAUAAUAGCCAUUCAGCACUUUGUAAGCACUGUAUAAAAAUCUGUGUAUCAUGGAAAGAGUUGUUCUGUUUCUUCUCUGAAUGUUUCAUUACUUGAUUAAUUUAGUCGUAUACAAGCAUAGCAUGAUAUUCCUUAGCUGCUUCCUUCCAAGUGGAGGGAAAACAUUUGAUAAAGGACAUGAUUUUCAGCAGAUCAGUCAGAGCAAAGCCAAUUGCAAUUUCUUUUUAUAUAGUCAUCUUACCUGCCAAAUUUGUACAUUCUGCCUCCAGCCAUUUCACCGCAAGUGUUUUUUACACUGUUUGUAUCACUGUAGGCGAAGAAAUGCUAACACUUGUGUUUAUUUUUCAUACUGCAGUUAUUAACCUGCUUUUGCGUAGAUUUUACCUUUGCCCUUUUAAAAACCAGCUGGAAAUUAUCAUCUUGUAAUGUGAGUUUCAAAACUUCACACAACUCAUAUCAGAGGAUAAGAAGAGGUUAGGGAUUUUCAGUAGGAAGAUUCUUCAUGUUGUAUCAUAGCUAAUGAAGCUACCUGUGAGGGUUACUAUCUGCAGAGAGGACAUCUUGGCUCCAUUUUUUUUUCACAUUCAGGCAGUGCAGUGCAGUGUUCUUUCAGUAGCUUCCAGCAGCUCACUUGUCCUCAUUUAGUGGAAAUUACUUGUGCCAGUGUGACUGGCUUCAAAACUAGGUCUGGGAAAUGGUACAUUUAAAAUAUGUAAAUAAAAUAUAUUCAAAUUUCAGUAGGACCAAUCCAUUCUGUGGCACUGCUUUAGAGUGCAGUCAUGCCAAUAGUUGAAUUAUGCAGGAUAUGAAUUUCUGCCAAAGGGCUGCAUCUCUGAAGGAUGGAACUAAGGGGCAUACAGUACUAGAUGUCCUUUUGGAGAUGACGCGAAAUCACAGUCCGAAAAUACGAGAUCUCUUUAGAAUUAAAAAAAGUAAUAUUGUCAUUUUUGCAGACUCCUCUGUAUUUUCUACUACUACAGUGAAGGAACUAGUCUCUGUCUUAGGUAUUUCUAAACUCCAGUGUUUCCUACAAGUGUUUUACGUGCAUAUUUUUUAAUAUACUACAUGUCAUGAAUGAUUUGAACAAGUUAUACCUAAACUUUUUUUUUUUUUAAUAUUUUGCACAGUGAAAGAAAGGAUGUAAAAAAAGGAAGGAUCUUAUUCUUUUAGCAUCUGAUCAAAGACCUUUUACAAGUUGUAGGAAGUCACAAUUGGUUUCAGUGAAUGUUGAAUCAAGCUCCAAACCAAUGAACUCAUGUUCAUCGAUGCAGACCUUGAAAUAUUCUAACCAAGUGGAUAGAAAGCUUUUCCAGAGGAUUCCAGCUAUCAUGUGACUCAGUCUGGUUCCUAACUCUGCAUAGGUCCCUCAGCAGUAUAACUGCUUUCACCUUCUUCUGAGCUUUGCAAUAGCCUGAAGCAACAAAAAAUCCCUCCCCUCUUUGUGCUUUGCUGUGUAUAUUUUUGAUAACAGACAUACUUCAACUGCCACUGAAGUCUAUCUAAAUAGGAAUGUUCUGUGGUACUUUUGUUGCUGUUGUUGUUGUUUUGUGUCGGAGAUAUGUUUUGUUGAUUUAAGACAUUUCUGCAAUUUCAGAGACUUUCACUGGUGCGCUUGGUGUUCAGAAGCAGCUGGAUUUUUUUAUCUAAACUUCCCAAAUGGGAUUUAUUCCACAAACUCUUUCCAGAAUAUAUUUGAUUUAAAAUACAUAUAUAUGUGUGUCUUGAUAUUUACUUGUGCUGUCAUCUUGUUUUCCUGGUAUUUUUAGUACAGAAUAAAAUCUUGAAAACAUAUGCGUAAAGCAAGUGGUUUUAACACAUUUCAAAAAGAAGACCAGGGGGUAAGAGACAAAGGCAUAUCAAAACAUAGACCUGCGGGGCAUCUAGAAUCAAAUGUAGAUCAUUAGUUUCAUGCUGCAGCAUGCAGAGAAAUCUCAGAAUUCAAUCCAGAUGUAAGUGAACACAUGGAAAUAAUUUCUGUGAAAAUGCAAAAUCAUGAAAUGUUGUAUUGCCCAUGUAGUAAACAACACUAUUUCAAUAUUUUCACCAUUUCAGUGACUCCUGCACUGUCAGUUUCUCAGCCAGGCUAAACUGCUUAGAAAAAGGAGGCCCUCCUGAGCUUUAUUCUGUGUGAUGAUAUUGUGAUCAGAUGUUGGCACUCUGAGAAGUGGUCUGACCCCCAUGUCUUAAUGAUAAUCCGCACCCAUAGGAGAGGAAUGUUUUAAUUAUUGCCAGCUAACUGAAAAUCCUCCACAAGAUGAAAGUGGAAGAAUAAUUUGUUUACAUAAACCAAACCAUAGAUAACAAAGUUAAUAGGUACAGAGAGAAGCCAAAAGAAAUACAAACAACCCCUUUGCACCUACCUGUAUUUUAGCUCAACUUCUGCUAGCAAAGAGUCAGAAUACUUUGUCUGGGAUCCAAGUAUCAGACAAAAAACCCUGCUCUGGAUUUAAACUCUGUUUAGAGGUUACCUCUAUCUGACAGAUGCCCAGGCUCUUAGAAUUCUGUUUAGAUUCAGAUAGUCUCUCUUCAUGUUAUCUUUUAAUGCAACAGUUUCUUAGAGGCCAGCUCUAAUAUUUCUCAUACAGGACUAGUGCCAUAUUGUGCAUUCCAUACUGUAUAGUGUCAUACAGUACAAUAAAAUAGGGGGCAGUUAGCUGGAGGGCUGCUACUGCCCAAGGAAUGGCUAGGCAUCAGUCAGCAGGCAGUGAGUAAUCACAUUUUGCUUUGCCUGUUUUGUGUAUAUAUAAUCUAUGAUUAUUUUCCCUUUUCUGUCCUUGAAAAAUGUCUACAUCUCAGCCCACAAGUUUACUUUCUUUUUUCCAGUUCUCUCCUCUAUUCCACUUUGGAGGAGAAGGUGAACAGCUGUAUGGUACUUAUCUGCCUACGUAUCCUUGUAAACAAACACUUUCAAUACUGAGAACAGACCAGAAGCUUAGUGCAUCAACAUGUCAAUAAUCAGUGUCUUUGGUGAGGCAGUGGAUUCGCGAUCAAGGAUCUUCAAGCCUUGAGAGACACCACUGUAAGUUGCUUUCUGAACCCACUGGUAAAAAGGAAUGGAGAGGACCGACUUUUUAGGUGCUGCGUGUAUGCAGAGAAACAUCGUUACUAAUGGCAGAUAAAGAGUUGUUGCUCUGUUUAAACAUACCCAGGAUAAAAUUAGAUUCUGCGUAGUUAAGGGAGUGGGAGCAUUGCUUCCAAUGCUGCUGAGGAGCAGGGGCUGUAGAAAGUCUGGUGUUUUUUUUGUUUGGUUGGUUGGUUUUGUGGUGUUUUUUUUGUUGUUGUUGUUGUUGUUUGAUACCAUGUGAAUUUAUUGAAUUAUUCAGCAGUCUAAUGUAAUCUCCAUCCAGCUGGUCUAAAACCCAUGCACUGGUUGUGCAACGUGAAGGAGGUAGCCACCGCUGUACCACAGUAUGUAAAGGUCUCUUACUGAAAGUAUGUAGAUUAGAGGUCAAAAUGAAACCUGACUAUGGAGACCCUGGAUUGCUCCUUCGUAAUAAAAUUGCUUCUUUCAUGUAACAUUACAGCUCAGAACAAAACACAAAUGUAUUAGAAUUAGUAGAUCUGAUCUUAAUCAUCAUAUAUAAUUUCACUUUUUCAGAGGAACUGCAACUUAGUGGAACUCUUCUAGUGAGAGAAGUAAAUGAAAGAUAACACCUAUAUUAACUUUAGUUGUAUAUCUUGACUCUGGUUGUAUAUCUAUACUGUUUUCCAAUUUUUUUUACAUCCGUACGUACAUAAAAAAUUGAGAGCUCUUUAAAACUACAUGUUCCAUGCUGGUUUUUUGGUUUUUGUUUUAAUUUUCUCCUUUGCUCUUCUUCAGACCGUAGAUCCGGUUCUUAGAUGCUGUCAAUGAAAGCCCAGCUCCACUGAGGCCUGCAGCAGAUAUCCUAUCAAUUUCAAUGAAGCCACAAUUUUGCCCUGAAUUUACAAAGUUGUCAUGGUUUUAUGAUUUUGGUUAUCGGUGUUCCACAUCACAACAUCAUGUAGUGCACCGGGAGUUAAAGUGUUAAUGCUCAAUAGCAUUCAAUUCUGAUUAUAUUGUAUUAUGGUGUGCUAUCUUGCAUUCCAAUACCAUAUUUAGUAAAUUAGUUUGUUUCUCCUCAGAUCAUUGCCGCUGUUUUUAAUUAUUUCGGGGUCCUGUUUCCCUUUUGCAGAGGCAUGGAUUCACAAAAUCCCUCUGCCCUGCUGGCCAUGGAACUGGACCAAACCAGCCUGUAAACCGUUGACAGAAGUGGUGGAGCACUACAAGACCAUGUGUGCCAUAAUGCACACCCUAAAUGCCAGUGGUCUUUUUUCAGGGUGCUAAGACUUUUAACAAGGACAAUUAAUUGCACAUGACACCUUCUCUCUACAAAUAAUUUGGUAUAGAUUACUGUGCAUUUCAGAAAGUAGUGCUGUCCUAUCACUUCUAAGUUGGUCUAGGUACAAACCUUCUCUCUGAAACUUGGAGAGUCUGUAGUCAACACUACUGAUAUGUUUGAGAUCUGAACACUGUUGUAGUCACACAGACUGGAAAUUGUGAGAAACACGCUCAAGAUCAAAAAUUUCUGAUCAGGCAAAAAUCUCUGCGAAGAGCAGUUUAUUCAUUAUUGCAAUAAUGGGUGCAACCUCCUACUGAUGGGAGGAAUUGCAAAUCUGAUCAGUGGAAUCUAUUCUGUUACAUACGCCGGGUCCGACACAGGUAAAGCCUCUCCUGGCACUCAUUGGUUGAGCGUCUCAGGCUCACAAUCUUUUGCAGUUGCUACGUCACUCUUCCAUACAAUGUCUGUCACCAACCCAUUGUUUUUGGGUACGUUCCGUACUUUGUACGGUGAUAGAAGGACAAUAUUUUCAACAAUCCAAUUACCUAGUGCCUGUGCCAAUUUUACCUAGGUCAGAACACCCCAGUCUCAACUUCACUCUGUUAAGCAACUUUCUUUGUGAAAGGCAAAGUAUCCUGUGCUAUGUACAGAAAUACUGGAAGUUUCCACUGCAGAAACACAAUCUACUUCUCACAGAAUUCUGGAGAAAAGCAUGGAUCUGUAACAGUGGCACUGAUUGCAAGCAAUUUAGUAAGAUAAAUGAAAUAGAUGUAGAUGCAUCAUAGCUGACUCAUUUAAGACUAGGGUUCUUCUCUUGAGUGUAAUGCAAUUAUCCAAAAUCACAGACCUUCUUGUGGGUACAUUCAAACCAGACUGCUUUUCAUAAGAGACUCAGCUCAUUGACUGUGCUGGAUGUCUUUUGUCACCAUAUCAAAAUGUAUUUUUGUUUCAUUCACUGGAUUAAAGGAGGUUACUUAAUGUAGUGACUUAAUAGAGGAGGGAGAUACUCUAAAGGUGUAGUUCUCCUAACAGUCAAAAGAUGGUAGUACAAUUUCUAUUCCAAGCAGCCCAGCAACACAGGGUAGUUGCCAUGCAUCCAUUGUUUGUGUUUAUGCAAGGGAUGAAGAGAAUCCAUAAGAGUGUGUCUUUUAGCCCUCCACAAAAGAAGGGUAAAAGUCCAUACUUGGGAUCACAACAACCAGCUGUUUAUCUGGCAGUGGUUAUGAUCUCCCAGCCCCGAGGACACGAAGAGGUGCUCCUGCAGGGGGCUGCUAUGAGACCCCCGGCCCUUUGCACUGCGGCCGGAGCCGUGGCCCAGCACCGGACUCCUUCAUUUUGUAGCUGAUUUUGGUUUUACGUUUUUGUUUUAUUUUUGGGGGGGAGG